rfam:Homo sapiens chromosome 11, GRCh38 reference primary assembly.
AUCAUCUGGGGGGCUUGUUAAAAAGUAGAUUCUGUUUCAGGAAGGUUGGAUCGAGGCCCAGGAAUUUGCAUUUCUAACAAGCUCCCAGACGAGGCUGA